rnacentral:rRNA from 1 species
UACGAAGGGAGCUAGCGUUGUUCGGAAUCACUGGGCGUAAAGCGCACGUAGGCGGAUGUGUCAGUCAGGGGUGAAAUCCCGGAGCUCAACUUCGGAACUGCCUCUGAUACAGCACGUCUUGAGUCCGAUAGAGGUGGGUGGAAUUCCUAGUGUAGAGGUGAAAUUCGUAGAUAUUAGGAAGAACACCGGUGGCGAAGGCGGCCCACUGGAUCGGUACUGACGCUGAGGUGCGAAAGCGUGGGGAGCAAACGGG